UUUCCGUAGGUGAACCUGCGGAAGGAUCAUUAUUGUAUAACCGAGGUGCGAGGGCUGUCGCUGACCCGAAAGGUCGUGCACGCCCGAGUGCCCUCACACACAUCCAUCUCACCCCCUAUGUGCACCACCGCGUGGGUCCCCCUUUGGCUUGUUCGGAGGGGGGCUUACGUUUUCACACAAACUUUGUAUGCAGUGUAGAAUGAAUUUUUUGUUUUUGCGAUCACGCAAUCAAUACAACUUUCAACAACGGAUCUCUUGGCUCUC
rnacentral:misc_RNA from 1 species